CGGACCAGUGUUACAGCUCAGUUAAACAUUAGACCAGUGUUAGGACUGCCCUUGUAGCUCAGUCGGUAAAGAAUCUGCCUGCAGUGCAGAAGGCCCGGGUUCGAUCCCUGAGUUGGGAAGAUCCCCUGGAGAAGGAAAUGGCAACCCACUCCAGUAUCUUUGCCUGGAAAAUCUCAUGGGCAGAGGAGCCUGGUGGGCUGCAGUCCACGGGGUUGCAAAGAGUUGGGCACAACUGAGCAACUAACACUUACAGCUUGGUGACAACUUAGUUUUAUUUGGCAAGCAAAGGAAAAUACAUCCUUGAGGUGUGAGGGUGGGCCAACCCUAAUGAUGGGAAGAGAAGAGGGAGUCUCAACUUUGGGUCCUCUUUCUAUAUGUUUUUUUCUCCUCCCUCCGAGCCUGCCCUAUGCAGAUUGGGCUAGCCAAGAAAGGGGCAUAAACGAUAUUUUCCACGUUCAGCUGUAGCUUUAUAUAUCCCUGUUGAACUGGACAGAGACAAAAUGGGUUAGACAAUUGAUAAUACAUGGAGCAAUCAUAAGCAGCAUCAAUAUGGUGAUAACAGGGAUUAGUAGGGGCGAUGAGCCAACUCCAAAUUCCCCCUCGCCAGGAGAAGGAUCCCCCAAAAAGAGAUUGUAAUCACUCCCAAGAACUCUCCAGCUUGUUCUUUGAGAUCCUACAGGAUCUGAAUGUUUUUCUUGAGGACUGUGAGACUUUCUUUAACUUAGCUGGAGGUAUUUACCCAGAAGCAACACAUCUCAUUCAAGAUGGCUCAAGUCCUCCUUGUUCAGGGAUCAGGAGAUCUAUCCCCUGUCUAUUUUGGAGUACAACCUCUGCCAAGCUUUGUUGCCUCGUUAGAGCUAUCCUGAGAGAGCUUAUCCCCAGAAACUUGAUUUUGGGGAUGUUCAUUAGAAUGGCACUCAUUUGUAGUCCUGAAUAGGUAUCUGAGAUCUCUCAGGGACUCACAGGUGUAUCGAGUGUCCUCUUCUGUUUUCUUCCACGGCUUGACUCAUGAGUAGUGAAUCCAGGAGUCGUGUCCUGGUACCUUGACUGCUGUGGGGGUAGAAAGUAUUACAGGGUAGGGGCCCUUCCAUUCGGACUGGAGUUGAGCCUUUGGGGACCCAUCUUUCCAGACCUUAAUUAGGACUUGAGUCCCUGGAGCAUAUAGUGGUGGCUCUUUAGAAUCUUUUGGGUCCUGGUUGACACCCCACAAUCAUAUAUCCUGUUGGAGUUGCCCAAUGGCCAUGGUAUAAGACUGGAGGGUCUGAGCCUCUGGAUAUAGGAAGAGGUCACUGACAUAAACAAAAGGUCUCCCAUAGCGCAUCUCAUAAGGACUAAGACCAACCUGUUCCUUAGGGGCAAUGCGGGUGCGGAGGAGAGCUAUUGGUAAAGCCUCCUUCCAUCCCAGGGAGGUCUCCUGGGUUAUCUUUUUUAUCGCUGAUUUUAAGAAUUUAUUGGCUCUUUCUACUUUUCCUGAAGAUUGAGGCCUCCAGGCACAAUAGAUAAUAAGUAAUGCCCAAUGCUUUUGAGACCCCUUGGGUGACCUUAGAAGGAAAUGAUGUCCCAUUGUCACUUUGGAAUGACCUGGGCAGACCAAAUCUCAGAAUAAUUUCAUGGAGCAGUUUUUUUUUUUUUUUUUUAACCACCUCCUCAACCUUCUCAGACCAAGUGGGAAAGCCUUCAAUUCAUUCUGUGUAACGUAUCUAUCAUGACUAAUAGGUAUUUAUACGCUGGAGAAAUUGGCAUCUGGGUUAAGUCCAUCUGCCAGUCCUCUCCUGGGUAGGCCCCAUGCUGUUGGAUGGGAUGGGCCAGCUGGGGUCUUCAAGCUCCUUGGGGGUUGUUUAAUUGGCAAGUGGGACAAGAGAAGACUACUUGCCUUAUAGUAAUUUGGAGGCCUGUUCCUCUGAAGGACCUUUCUAGGCAUCUUUGGAGGGCCUUUUCUCCUAAAUGAGUAGUGGCAUGUAAGGAGUUAACCAGCUUCCAUUGGAGGUUUCCAGGCAGAAAAAGGAGUCCCUCCUUUUGGAACCACCCAGUAUGAUCCUCUUGAAAGCCCUCACUCUUAGCUUUAAGAGUCUCACCUUCAGUGUAUGAAGGAGUUUCUGGCAAAUUAGUCUGUGGAACUAAGGUGGCAAUCCCUGUUAGGUCAUGGUUCUGUAAUGCUGCUCUCCUAGCUGCCUGAUCAUCUGCUUGGUUCCCUCGUGCCACUUCCGUGCUCCCUUUUUGGUGUCCUUUACAGUGGGAGACUGAAACCUCAGUGGGCAGGUGGACCGCCUCCAAGAGCCUAAGGAUUUGAUCACCAUCCUUAAUUGGGGACCCUCGGGUGGUCAAGUGGUCUUUCUUUCCAAAUAGCAGCAUGUGCAUGUAGCACCGGAAAGGUAUACUUGGAGUCAGUGUAAUGCCUACUCUUUUUCAACUUUUCCCAUCUCUAAAAUUCAAGUCAGGGCUAUGAGCUCAGCCAAUUGGGAUGAAGCACCUGGUGUCAAAGGUUUAGCCUCUGUGGUCUCAAAAUUGGAGACUACUGCAUAUCUGGCUGUUCUUUUUCCAUCCAAGGCAAAGCUGCUUCCAUCAGUAUACCAGAUUUCCUCAGGAUUGGUCAGAGGAUCUUCUGACAAUUCCUCUUGGGGUUUUGUCCAGUGUCCCAAGGUUUCUAGGCAAGAGUGAAUGGGGAGAGAGCCCUUGUGGGUACGCAGGAGGGUGGCUGGGUUAAGAAUCUCACAAGGAGAUAUAGUCAGGAUUUUCCAUCAGCACUACUUGAUAUCUGAGGAUCCUUUGAUCAGACAUCCAUAAAUGGUCUCUCCCAUUCAGGAGUUGUUUCACUUGGUGGCUGGUAAAAAUACUUUGCCCCAAAAGAGAGUUUUAAUGCAUCUUCUGUCAGGACUGCAAUAGCUGCAAGAUUUUGAAGGCAGGGAGGCAAGCCUUGGGUAGUUGGAUCGAGUCUCUUGGAUAAGUUAGCUACAGGCUGGGGCUCAGGUUCCAACCUUUGAGCUAACACUCUGAAGGCUAUUCGUUCCUUUUUGUGGACAUAAAGUUGGAAUUUUUUUGGGGGGAGGGGUCUGGCAACCUCAAGGCAAGUGCUUGAGUUAAGGCUUGUUUUAGUGGAGCCUCUGCCUUCUUUUGAGUUCUCCACAUCAAUGGAGUUGAAGCAUCCCGUCCCUUCAAACUUUCCUAAAAAGGAAAGGGCUUUUAAAGAAAGCCCUUUAAAAGGGCUGGGCAAUUAGCCUAUAGAUGGGUAUCCAGAUUCUACAAUUCCUAGUUAGCCCCAGAAAAGCUUGCAAUUGUUUUUGAGUCAUGGGGGAGGGUAAUUGGAGGACUCCUUGUACUCGAUCAGAGGACAGCCUCCUGGACCCAUGAGUAUUCUGAACUCCCAGGUCCCAGGUCCAGAUCUAGGAGAUCCUGGCUAAUAGCAUGCCCAAACAGUGGGACUGUCUCUGAACCCCUGAGGGAGGAUCAGUGUGUUACACAGCAAAUUUGUGGGGACCAAUAGCCCAUAGGCAAGGAGUUUAUUUAUUAGAGGCUGUAGUCCUUCCAAAAGCAGAGACAUUACUUUGCCAACAAAGGUCCGUCUAGUCAAGGCUAUGGUUUUUCCUGUGAUCAUGUAUGGAUGUGAGAGUUGGACUAUGAAGAAGGCUGAGCACCGAAGAAUUGAUGCUUUUGAACUGUGGUGUUGGAGAAGACUCUUGAGAGUCCCUUGGACUGCAAGGAGAUCCAACCAGUCCAUUCUGAAGGAGAUCAGCCCUGGGAUUUCUUUGGAAGGAAUGAUGCUAAAGCUGAAACUCCAGUGCUUUGGCCACCUCAUGCGAAGAGUUGACUCAUUGGAAAAGACUCUGCUGCUGGGAGGGAUUGGGGGCAGGAGGAGAAGGGGACGACAGAGGAUGAGAUGGCUGGAUGGCAUCACUGACUCGAUGGACGUGAGUCUGAGUGAACUCCAGGAGCUGGUGAUGGACAGGGAGGCCUGGCACACUGCGAUUCAUGG
ensembl:lncRNA